AAUUGUAGAGUUGAAAGGGACCACAAGGGACAUCUAGUCCAACCCCCUGCAAUCUUCUGCCCAAUGUGACGCUCAAACCUACGACCCGGAGAUUAAGAGUCUCAUGCUCUACCAACUGUGCUACCUCUUUGCUGGGUUGUGGGUUUGAGUCCCAUGUUGGAUUCCUACAUUGCAGGGGGUUGGACUAGAUGACCCUUGUGGUCCCUUCCAACUCUACAAUU